GGUAGCCAAGGUCCAAACUUUUUAUCUUUGUUGUUAUCUAUUGCACAUUCUGUAAUAGUUGCAGGAUGUGCAGUAUUACAGGAUGUGCAAUAGAUAACAACAAAGAUAAAAGGUUUGGACCAUGGCUACC